rnacentral:rRNA from 1 species
GAUGAACGCUAGCUACAGGCUUAACACAUGCAAGUCGAGGGGAAACGAUGAGAGAGCUUGCUCUCUUAGUCGUCGACCGGCGCACGGGUGAGUAACGCGUAUCCAACCUGCCUCUGACCAAGGGAUAACCCGUCGAAAGUCGGACUAAUACCUUAUGCAGUCGUCGGAAGUCAUCUGAUGACGACGAAAGAUUUCAUCGGUGAGAGAUGGGGAUGCGUCUGAUUAGCUUGUUGGCGGGGUAACGGCCCACCAAGGCGACGAUCAGUAGGGGUUCUGAGAGGAAGGUCCCCCACAUUGGAACUGAGACACGGUCCAAACUCCUACGGGAGGCAGCAGUGAGGAAUAUUGGUCAAGGGGCGUAAGCCUGAACCAGCCAAGUAGCGUGCAGGAGGACGGCCCUAUGGGUUGUAAACUGCUUUUAUGCGGGGAUAAAGUGAGGGACGUGUCCUUCAUUGCAGGUACCGCAUGAAUAAGGACCGGCUAAUUCCGUG